rnacentral:tRNA from 1 species
GGCCACGUGGCAGAAUGGUUAUGCACCCGGGGUUGCAAUCUGGGGAAUGCCGGUCCGAAUCCGGCCGUGGCCUCCA